UCUGCACUGACGUCAUGUUACUGCGACAGGCGCUAAUGACGAGAACAACAGAGGGUCUGGCUGCAGACACAUGGGGAAAGUGGAGCUCCACUCCAGACCGGAAACACGUGACCUCCACUGAAGACGUCAUCUCUACUUUUAUGUAGACCUAUGGGGCGACGAAACGAUUUAUUUUGACCGCAAUUAAAUGUUUAUUAAAUAAUAUUGUUUUUACGUUAUGGAAUUUGUUCGCACAUACAAACACAGAGCAAAACGACCAUCUGGAAGACAGAGAAAACAUGGCUAAAGAAGCCCACGGAGUGAUUUAAUGAAGCUACGAGGAGAAAACGCCGCAUUUUCACGCACAGUGACUGGGUUAAACUUGUAAACACUUGGCCAGUAUAAGUGUAAGUGCGCUUCCUGUAUGAGAACACAACACACUGCUGGGGCACAGAAAUGUUGGCUGAUGAGACGCUC